CAACUUGCAGCCUCACCCCCAGGCAUCUUUUACCCAAAGGGCUGUGCUUCUCUGCUGGGGGUUGGAGGGGCUACUGGGGUGCAUUGCUAAGUGCACGAACUGAGAAACUGGGUCUUUAGUUAUUUCCAGCACGGAGCAGCUGCCCAAGUUACCUGGGAGAUGGGAAAAUCGUGUGAAAGCUGGUUAACCCUUUGAGGAUUAGAGUAAUGGUGGAAGCAGAAAGGAGAAGGAGUUUCACUCCAGGAUGUACGUAGGACCAGCCCUCCCUGCAGUCCUGUCCUUCAAGACUCAAGUCUUGUCCACUCCAAAUCACCACUGGGAUUCCUAAGUCCAGGACAGAGCUUCAGGCAAGGAAAAGAAGAGUUGGGAAAGCCAGUUUCCAACAUUUAUCAGCCACGUGUACCUGCAAACUAUAUACCUUGGGUAAAUCAUCAAUCUCUUGAAAUGGGAAUAAAACCAUCUGCCU
rnacentral:lncRNA from 10 species